rnacentral:rRNA from 1 species
UACGUAGGGUGCAAGCGUUGUCCGGAAUCAUUGGGCGUAAAGAGCUCGUAGGCGGUCUGUCGCGUCUGCGUGUGAAAACCUGGGCUUAACCCUGGGCUUGCAGUGGUACGGGCAGACUAGAGUGCGGUAGGGGAGACUGGAAUUCUGGUGUAGCGGUGAAAUGCGCGAGUAUCAGGAGGAACACCGGUGGCGAAGGCGGGUCUCCUGG